CCCUCCUCGGUGUGGCGGCGGCGACGCUCGCGUUCUCCGGUAUCGGGGGCAUCGACGCCGACAGGGUCCACUCGAUCGUCACCAGUGGGGAGGGGCC
rnacentral:tRNA from 1 species